UAGCAUGUGACGAGUUCAUUGUGAAAUAAGCUAGGAAAAAUAAUGGCUUUAAAGAAAUGUUCACUAAUUUUUUUAGUUCUUUUUUUCUGUAUGUUGGAUUUUUCAUCCAUGGCAUUAGCAAGGAACAUUAAUGAUGCCUCUCAAAUUUAUUCAUUUUCAGAUAUAAAGGGUUUAAAUAGGAGAGUUCUUGUGAAAGCGAAACGGAGAUCUCCAUGUACGAGGGGAAGAAGUCGUGAAGAGGAAGAGGAGAGAGGUAGCCCACGUUGCCACAAUUUCAAAUCUCUCUAUCCACAUCAAGUAUGGAGACAUAACUAAUUUGUCCUAAAUGUGUAACUGUUUAUCCAGAAAUUCGGUAAACAAACGCUAGUUUCUUUUUUAAAGGUUAUUUUACAGAAUCAACUAGUAAAUCUCAGGACUUAUUGCUAUGUUCUUGUUUCGUGUAACUUUGAUUUGUAUUAAAUGCGGAAGACUUGAAAGUAAAUGAAAGAAAUAACGCAGAAUAUAAAACUUGACUGAAAUAAAGGCACUAAAAGAAAGCAAUAAAUAUAUGUGAAAGACAAACUGGAAUAUUAAAAUGAUUGCAUAAUAAUUAAUCUGGUACGCAUACGUACAUUUCUAGAAAAUUACACUCGUUUCUCAUUUUGUGUGCAGAGAUUGAGUUUUGUCUUUUGUGAUGUAGAAAUGCGGACCCUUAAACUACUGACAUAAAUUUGCUUAAAUAGAAAUUCUGAAACAAACUGUCCUAACAGUCGACUAAUAAUACGUCGCCACGUGUCCCAACCAUGCAACAUUUUCUUUGAGAAGACUCCACGUAUUCUGACGAGAAAACUGUCCAGAACCGUUUCUUUUAACCUCUUAAACUUUCAACUUUGACCCACUAUUUUGACAAAGUUCUCAAUUCUUUUAUAUCGCUAAGUCCCCUUCAGAACAAGAAGAAAUGCUUCCUUAGUCUUCGACUAAACUUGUACUUUCCUUCUCCCAUUAUUUAAAUGCCAACCCAAAAUAGAAAGUCGAAAUCUUAGGGUAACAAAUUGCCCCCCAAAAGGCCACUUUCGACUGAAAAUAGGGAAGGAGAGAAGAUGGCAUUUUGAAUUCGUCAGUAUUUCGACUUUCAAACUCUGCCAACGCCAUAAUUACGUUACAAUUCCCAACACAUUAAUCAUUACCUAAAUCCUAGGUAGUGGGCUAUUAACUGUUUCUCCCACUUCUUUACUUCAUUUUCCAAGACAAUUUUCUGAAACGACGUUUGCUUUCCAAAUCUCACCCCUUGCUGACGUCACACAUAGAAUCUCCCCCUAUAAAAACCUUCCUUCUCCUUAUCUUUCAACCUCAUUUUCUUCUUCUUCGUUUUUUCAGUACCAGUUUUCUUUUUGAUCCUAAAAACUUUCUUACUAUCAACCAUGGCUACCAACACUACCGUUUGCGACACUGGAUCUAACUCAUUGGCGACCAUUAUCUCUCGUGAAGAUGAAGAGAAAGGCUUGGAGUUUGUUCCUCAAACUUUUGCUAAUGAGGCUAAGGUUACCAUUUGGAAAAGCCAAAUGCUAAUACCGUUUCAAGCUGCUGAUAAACUUUUGGCCUUCUCAGGCCCAUACCCAGAUCAUCGCUCACACCCCAAAAUGGUCCAAAAAUUCUUUCCUGCUUUCUCGUCUACCAUGCCUGUAGCAUUUGAAAAGAACCUCCAAUUGGAACUAAAGUUUAUGGAUCCUUCUAUGAGAGUUUUUCGUUCGACUCCUCCUCCAGGCAACAAAGAUUUUCUAGCUUGGCUUGACAAAGUUCAAGCAAAAAAACAACAAAUGUGGGAAGAAUUGAGAAUCUUCGACGCUAUUUAGCUGUCAAGGACUACUCACAGGGUGAACCUUGCAUGCUGCUUGCCUCAAUCUUCUUCUAGGAGGGUUCAACCAACACCUUCCACUUCCCUUGUGGGAUGAUGACUCCCACUCUCUUCGACGUGGCUGCCAUUACAGGACUUUCGCCUUUGGGGGAAGUCUUCGACCCCACUCUUUCGACUCAAAUGGAAUUUAAUUUCAGCAUUGCCACUAUAACCAAGUACAUCCAGGAUCACCAAGAUAAGGAUUCGGAUGAAGUCUCUGACGAGGAGCAUGUGGCUUUCUUCACUUAUUGGUUAUCAUAUUAUUUAUUCUGCCUUGGAUCUCUCCAGAUUGCCAAAGCCUACAUUCCUAUGGCGAUUCAGAUUCAUGAAGGUAACGUAAAAUAAAUAAAAUUAAAAAUUAAAAACCUUAGCAGGUUGACCGGUGGAUAUAGAUAAAGAUAAAGAGAAAAACAAACCAAAAGCUCAGAAGAAAAAAAAUAGAAACCCUAAAAAAAAUCAAAAAGUUCCUGUGUGAGAUUGUGUUGUUAAUGCAUCUAAAUUUUUUCCUUCUUUGUACAAAGAUUGUUGUUCAAGCUUUUCACCUAUAGGUAGGUUUAGUUUAGUUUUGUUCCGAUGGUUGAUUUAGACAAUGUUUCUACACCUUCAGGAGGAUCAGCUAGCAUCUCUUCCUCCGGUAACAAUAAUAACAAUAACCAUAACAACCAAACAACCCCUCCAAACCCCACUAAGAAAAAACGAAACCUCCCAGAAAUGCCAGAUCCGGAAGCAUAGGUGAUAGCUUUGUCUCCGACUACUCUGUUAGCGACGAAUAGAUUUGUGUGUGAAAUAUGCAACAAAGGUUUUCAGAGGGAUCAGAAUCUUCAACUUCAUAGGAGAGAUCAUAACCUGCCGUGGAAACUGAGGCAGAGGUCGAGUAAGGAAGUUAGGAAGAGGGUUUAUGUUUGUCCGGAACCGAUCUGUGUUCAUCAUUAUCCUUCUAGAGCUUUCGGCGAUCUAACGGGAAUUAAAAAACACUUUUAUAGAUUUUUUUUUGGUAAUUAAUAUUAUUAUGAAUCGAAAUACAUGAAUAAGAAUGUUGUUUAUAAAAACAUUAAUAUAUCAUUGAGAAUAUGAAGAAAUUAAAAAACAAAUUAAUAUUUCAUUAAUAUGAAGAGAUCAAUAAUUUAACACAAGUAAAUGUUUCAA